UUACCUAGGGAAGCAAAGACUGGGGUGGCUAGGACACUGUUGGUCGGGGUUUUGCGUCCCUGUUCUCCUUCUCCCGGAACCUCGGCUGGGGAGGAAGUUAAGGGAAUGGUGACUCAGGCAGCAGCGCUCGGGGCUGCGCCUCCCGCCGCGGCGGCGGUGUGUCCGCCUGCUACUCCGCCUCUCACCCCGCGGGCCGAGGGGAAGGGGCGGGGCUGGCGGCGGAUCGUAGAGGCCCGCGGCGCUAGGAGAGUCCCGGCGCACGAAGGCCUCCGACCGACGGAGGACGCUUCGGGCGGCUGAGGCGCUCCGCCUCGAGGAGGCACGCAGAUUUGGCGGGCGCCUCUUCCGGCUCCUGGGGCUCCUCGGUUAGACCGGUGGUUUUUCGGCGGUAACCACCGCGAAGCACCUUGAUUUUUGAUACCCCAGGUCGGGCCGAUUAGGACACGGGUUGGGACUACUCUCAAGUAAUAGAGUAUAGUUCUCGGUUCUAUACAAUCGACUGUUCCAACACCUGGUUACCCUACUGUCACUGUGACUUUUGAGGAGACCUUCACGUAGUAUAGUUCAACAAGGAAUGUUCUUACGGGUCCCUCUUUUGUGGAAUGGACACGACAGAUUUUUUUCCUUUAAGUAAUAAUCAUGUAUAAGACACGUUACAUCAUGAACGGUCUUUACCUCUCAACAUGGUAGGUUUGACUUUAUACUCGUUUAAGCUCUCUUAUAAUAUGUUCAAGGAAAAAGAACGUUUAUACAGGUACCCACCUUCGGUGUUCAAUGUACGGUACUAGGUUGACUAUAUAGACUCCUAUUACCGUACCGUACCCGUUAACUAUAGGGUACGUAGGGAGUCUGGGGAGAACCCACCCUUUCCUUAUAAUGAGAUUCCUUACUUGUCUCGUGCUCUAAGCGACUACACAUGAUAUAGAGAGGGCGUCCGUCUUUUCAUUCUAGGUACUUUCUACAACUUUCCAUAGAACUUCUGUUGGGUCUGAUACGACGGGCGAAUGUCAAUAGAGUCAAAAGCAAGUCCCAUGGAUUUGGAGGUUUAACGGGAGCAGUCAGUCUCGAAUAACUUGGUUGACUUCACGGUGGAGGCCAAGUGCUCCUAGGGCACGUGUUGAUGUACGGCCAGGGAGUACCUCUUCGGUUAGUAAAUUGAGUAUAUGGUCAAUAUGAUCGAGAUGUUCAUGGUCACUACGAGAGGUUUUUCUCUUUUCAUUUGGUCACUACGAGGAGGUUUUUCUCUUUUCAUUUGGUCACUACGAGAGGUCUUUCUUUCUUUUUACGAGAUAGUCACUACAAGUUUAAAGUCUGAACUUUACACGAUCAAACGACAUAAUAGAACGACAAUUACAAGAUGGAAUCGAUUCGAGCGAGGGGAACACGGCAUGAAACGAGGUCGAACCGACCUUGACUCUCAAAAACCCUGUAGUUGUAGUUGUCUCCUUACAACAACGUCUUUCAAUAACUUUGACGGUGUAACGAAAAUGGAGUGAUACAAGCACACGACACUUACGGAUAUUGAAAUUCAAAUACGCACAACGUGUAGUAUUAGAGGACAUAUUCCAUGUCAACAAAAAUAACUC
rnacentral:rRNA from 1 species